rnacentral:misc_RNA from 1 species
CAUCUGCAUGUGGCGGCACAUGCGCGUCAUUGAAAAGACAAGCAUCCUUCACAGGACUCCUUUCUGUGAAGUAUAUCAGGAACGUCAAAACAGAUAUAAGCAGAAGUUUGAACGUGUCAGGGCAGCAGCGGCUGCAACUGUGCCGGCGGAAGACUACAGCAGCAGCGGCUUGGUGGCCGAAGUGUGGCGACCACGGAAUGGGUAGUCGCCUGCUCUUACCCUCCAACAACAGCAGCACCAUCUGCAGCUGCAGCGGUGGCUAUGCAGAACUACCGCUGCAAGCAGAGACAAUACCACAGCGUGCUGUGGUCGCUGCAGUUUGUGCUCGCUCUCCUACACCACGCGCGGAAAGGCGCCGCACGUGCACGUCAGCAGCAACACGAGCGCGGCAACGCUAGGGAGGACAACAGCUGUUGCUGCUCAACCUCAACUGGUGCCGCUGACACGGAGUCAGAUACUUUGAUUGCGUUUCAAGCGGCCGCAGACGGUGCCUUGGCCUCGUUCGCAACACAGGGACCGCUUUCUGCCUCGCAGUUGCUCUCCCUGCAGAACAGCCUCACUGACGCUGACGUACGUGAUCUCUGCGUGCAAUGCAUGCGCCACUUCAUCACCCAGCAGCAGCAGCCGGCGCCAACGCUCACGUCUGUGCAGCAGCCGCUCUUCAGCGCUGAAAACGUCUUUGCCGCCCCUACGCCUCUUCUUCUCGUGCUGUGGCCAACCGAGAGUGUUCGCCAACACUACACAUGGGCUUUGGAGGUGGCUCACCACCACCGCAUCGACCACAGCGACCUCCUCGCCAUACCAGGCUACCUGCAGGAGGCUGGCCUGCACGCGCGGCGUGUCUUUGCGGGGUAUAGCGGCGCCAAACAUGAUGAAAGGUCCACCGUGGCGCAGGACUCAGAGCAGCGGGCAGCGCAUGAGUGGGCCCGCCUCAUCGACCUCUACACCUCCUUCCUCCCUGAUCGGUCCCACAUCCACGAGCUGGAGAAUCUGCCGCAGGAGAUCGCCAUUGGCGAGCUGCUCCGCGAGACCGUCGAGCGCGUGCGCAGGGCGGAGGAUCACGCCGGCGGCGAUGGCUUCGCGCUGGACUGCGUCGUCGACGUCGGCGGCGGCAACGGCUUCCUUGCGGCGCAGGUGGCGGAGCGCCUGCAGUGCGACAGCGUCGUCAUCGACCCCUUCUUUCCGGCGCACUCCAUCGACUGCUGCCCGCGGCUGUGGCCCGACACAGCGCACCGCGCACGGCCCGCCACGCGCCGGCAGCGCACACUGCACCGCACCGUGGCGCUGUUCCGCGACGUCCGCUGGUCGGACGCUGUGCCGGCAACGCCAGCACGCACGGCCCUCAUCGCGAAGCACCUGUGCGGCAGCGGCGUGGACGAGGUGCUGCGCCAUCUGGAGGCGCAGGAGUCUCUGCCGCGCAUCCUCGUUCUGGCGCCGUGCUGCUUUAGCAAAUGCUCGCUGGACACCUACAUCGACCCUGACUUUGUGUCCGCGCUGCUGGGGCUGGGCAGUGCUGCAGCCUUCUGCCAUCUAACGCGCUUGACAGACUGGAAUGCGUCCGUGCACCAGCGAUUGCAGGGUGUCGCUCUGUCGGGGAGAGGCCCCUCAGCAUCGGUCUCGAAGAAGUCCGUGCGUUACUUUGUCUCCUGUCCAGAGGGCAUAGCCGCCUCCGUCGAAGCCGUCGUGAGCCAAGGACGCGUACAGUGGCUUCAGCGUCACGGGUACAUCGUGCGACUAGUGGAGUACGUUCCCGACUGCGUGACACCAAAGAAUCGCUGUAUGGUGGCAUACCGUACGUGACGUACGGGCUCGGCCGUUUCCUCGUAUCCUAACAAGUGAGCCUGUGGUAGAGAGUGCGCGCAAGCUGUCUGUGCUGCCUUACCUGCACGCAUAACAACGACGAUAGAGAUCGAACACUUCUCUGUAGCUGAUGCGUGCUGCUGCCGCCGUUGCUGCCCACUGUUCAUCCCACGCAUCUCUGCCUGAACUUCAGCCAGGCCGCUACAAGCAUCGUCUACUUACCCCGACGACGAAAUGAGACCUGCCUG